AUUUCAGGAAGAACAACAAUGAUUGUGUCUGUGAUGUGGAGAUUUCAUGAUUAGCUUUUAUAUUUUUGUUGAAGUCCCCUAAGAGAUAUAAUCUCAGUUGUAUUCUUGAUUUUACUUUUCAAAUAUCAAAUGCGUCGUGAAUAUACAAGUCGCAUACAAUCAGUAGACACGGUGUCUUGUCUUGUACGCUAAUAAAAGCUGUUGGCUACGUUAGCUCUCUAUCGAUGACCUAGUAGUAGCCGUCGCAGACAAGCUAGCUGUUUAGGUGCUACUGUAUCUCCUUCGUGAUUCAUCACAAUCCUGUGUUCCCAGUGUCUUUUCCCUAAUGGCGUGACACAUAACCUUAGUCAAUUUUCCCUCAAACUGAAUUUUGUUAAUAUUUACGCGCUAGCCUCUGCUAUCCUUCCUUUACAUACAUAAGGCUAACACCAUUGUUUGUUAGGUGAGCUAGGUUGGGUACGUCCACCCUUGUUCCUCUAGUCGUAAGUUACAAACGUUUUUUUUUUUUUUUUUACCGAAUGUUUUCGGCGAACAAUGCUCUCUACCAGUCUAUUUACUGAAGGAAAAUGGUGGGUAAUUUUUGGUCUGUCCAGUCUCUUGCUGUUGACGCAAGGACAAGAUGAUGAUUGGGUCGAUCCAUUUGACAUGUUGAACUACGAUGCAACCUCAAAGUCUAUGAGGAAACCCCCUGAGGCGGCAAGUUACGACAAUGUACCCACCAAACGAAGAGAAUAUGUACAGGAGCCAUGUCCCCCGUGCCAGUGCCCUGAUGUCUCUCAGUGCAAUAAGAACGUGGAGAUGCUACAGAGGGAAUUACAUGAGCACAAACGGAAGACGACCUCUUUACUUCAACCUGCAACGUGUAAUCCCAUCUUCAAGCGAUUCAUCUCCAAACUAUUGAAGGAAAUUUCGAGACUUGGCUUGUCAAAUGAAAGUCCAAAUGGCAUGUACUAUGAUGCCAAGGUACAUUUGUCUUCAAGAACUAUGGCUGAGCUCCAGAAGGUGGUGGUAGGGGAGACCUGGACAACGGGUUCUCUAGAUGAUGCUCUCAGUAAGAUACUGGUGGACUUCAAACCACAUGACUAUGAGGCCUGGAAAUGGCGGUUUGAGGACACAUUUGGAGUUGAGCUGGACACAGUCGUGAAGACUUCCAUGUUUAUUUUGGUCAUAGUGGUGAUCAUCUGCAGUGAGCUUUGGUCUACGGUUUCAUGGUUUGUCCAGUUCAAGAGGAUGUUUGCCAUCUGCUUCUUCAUCAGUAUUGUCUGGAAUUGGUUUUAUCUUUACAAGAUUGCGUUUGCUGAGCACCAAACCAACAUUGUGAAGAUGGAGAGUGUCAAUGAUAAAUGUACUGGUGUGAAGAAGAUAGACUGGAAGGACAACUUAAAAGAGUGGUUUAGGAGCACCUGGACUCUUCAAGAUGAUCCUUGCAAGAAAUACUAUGAAGUACUCAUGGUUAAUCCCAUAUUACUGGUCCCUCCAACUAAGGCAAUCUCCGUCACCAUUACAACCUUCAUCACAGAACCCCUGAAGCACUUGGGCCAGGGGAUCAGUGAGUUCCUCAGGGCCCUUCUGAAGGAUCUGCCAGUUACUCUUCAAAUACCUGUCCUCCUCACCAUUGUGCUGUCCAUUGUGUUCUGCACAUAUGGCAGUGCCCAGACUGCCAUCCAGCAUGUCCUUACCGGCCCGCUGAGAAGAGGUCGCAGAGAUCCCCCGCCACCACCCAACAGACUCCAGGACCGUGGCCAACACCCCCAGCUAGAACAGGGAGACUCCAACGAAGAGGAUGAGGACGACCAGCACCACCUGGGGGCCGGGGAUGCGCCGCUCCCCAAACGGGGUCUGGAUCAGAGGGGUAGGGCGAGGGGAGGAGGCGCAAGAGGAGAAGGAUGGAGACAAGAGGUCCGCCGGAGACCCGUCCGGCCCAAGGAGAACCAGCGGCGGGUUUUUGUGGAGACCCUGCGGAAUGCAGAUCACCAUUUCAGCGGAGACGAGACUGACCAAUCCAGGCUACCUGAGGAAGGGAUAGAGAGAGAGGGGGAGGAAAGGGAGGAUGUUGCUGAGGGGGACCAGGCGGCUGCUGCAGAAGAGGUUGUUAAAGAUGAGAAGCUAAAAGAGAAGCCCGCUGACAAGAAAGAGCAGCCCGUCAACAAGAAAGAGCAGCCCAGUGACAAAAAAGAGCAGGGGGCCGACAGGAAUGUUGAUGGCAUCGACUCCCCGCAUACUGAGCCAGGCUCAGAGGGAGAGAGGACUAUGAGACCAUCAGAUCAGCAGAGCACAGCGUCAACACGGAGUCAAGGAGCUGCAGCACCAGAGCAGAUAACAUCAUUACAAGGACUCAACAUCUUAUUGCUUAUUGAAAGGAUGAUAACUGAGAAACUGCUAACAAUUAAGCAACAAAACAAUGAAGCUGCCGUACUGUGCCAGUCGAAUGGGCUGACACUCACCUGAUCUCACCUGGGGUUCGUUUCCCAAAAGCAUAGUUGCUAGUUGCUGUGAUAGCAACUACCUUGGUAGUGUCACUGCCAAAUGCAGAAGAAGCUUCUUCGGAGCAGAAGGAUGUCUUAAUAAAGAGUGGACAUGUUGAGGAUAUUGGAGUACCGGUUCAAGAGUGUGGACUAUAAGGGACCGUUAAAUCAUGUGGCCUUGUAAAUUUAAAUGGCCUUUGAUAUUGUGUACAUUUUUGCCAAUGAGAAGAACUGUCUUUUUGUCAGUGCAUUGCACUUAUCAGGAAUUAGCCUACUAAUUUACUAAACUACUCAUAGACUACUCAUUUUCUUAAUCAUCUUUUGAUUUGUUAUUGUUAUGUAAAAAAUAAAAAAUAUUUUUACAA